rnacentral:rRNA from 1 species
CAAGCCUGAUCCAGCCAUGCCGCGUGCAGGAUGAAGGCCUUCGGGUUGUAAACUGCUUUUGUACGGAACGAAAAGACUCUGGUUAAUACCUGGGGUCCAUGACGGUACCGUAAGAAUAAGCACCGGCUAACUACGUGCCAGCAGCCGCGGUAAUACGAAGGGGGCUAGCGUUGUUCGGAAUUACUGGGCGUAAAGCGCACGUAGGCUGACUUUUAAGUCAGGGGUGAAAUCCCGGGGCUCAACCUCGGAACUGCCUUUGAUACUGGAAGUCUUGAGUCCGAGAGAGGUGAGUGGAACUCCGAGUGUAGAGGUGAAAUUCGUAGAUAUUCGGAAGAACACCAGUGGCGAAGGCGGCUCACUGGCUCGGUACUGACGCUGAGGUGCGAAAGCGUGGGGAGCAAACA